rnacentral:rRNA from 1 species
UACGGGGGGGGCAAGCGUUGUUCGGAAUUACUGGGCGUAAAGGGCGCGUAGGCGGCCUGUUAAGUCACACGUGAAAUCCCUCGGCUUAACCGGGGAACUGCGUCUGAUACUGGAUGGCUUGAGUGUGGGAGAGGGAUGCGGAAUUCCUGGUGUAGCGGUGGAAUGCGCAGAUAUCAGGAGGAACACCGAUGGCGAAGGCAGGUCUCUGGGCCGUUACUGACGCUGAGGAGCGAAAGCAUGGGGAGCGAACAGG